rnacentral:rRNA from 1 species
AUUGAUUUUAUGCUUGCAUAAAUGAUUUUUGGAUUCGGAGCGAGUGGCGAACUGGUGAGUAACACGUGGGUAACCUGCCCCGAAGCGGGGGAUAACAUUUGGAAACAAGUGCUAAUACCGCAUAAUUAGUUGGAACCGCAUGGUUCCAACUUGAAAGAUGGCUCUGCUAUCACUUUGGGAUGGACCCGCGCCGUAUUAGUUAGUUGGUGAGAUAAAAGCCCACCAGGACGAUGAUACGUAGCCGACCUGAGAGGGUAAUCGGCCACAUUGGGACUGAGACACGGCCCAGACUCCUACGGGAGGCAGCAGUAGGGAAUCUUCCACAAUGGACGAAAGUCUGAUGGAGCAACGCCGCGUGAGUGAUGAAGGUUUUCGGAUCGUAAAACUCUGUUGUUAAAGAAGAACAAGUGUUAGAGUAACUGUUAACACUUUGACGGUAUUUAACCAGAAAGCCACGGCUAACUACGUGCCAGCAGCCGCGGUAAUACGUAGGUGGCAAGCGUUGUCCGGAUUUAUUGGGCGUAAAGCGAGCGCAGGCGGUUUUGUAAGUCUGCUGUGAAAGCCCUCAGCUCAACUGAGGAAGUGCAGUGGAAACUACAAAACUUGAGUACAGAAGAGGAAAGUGGAACUCCAUGUGUAGCGGUGAAAUGCGUAGAUAUAUGGAAGAACACCAGUGGCGAAGGCGGCUUUCUGGUCUGUUACUGACGCUGAGGCUCGAAAGCAUGGGUAGCGAACAGGAUUAGAUACCCUGGUAGUCCAUGCCGUAAACGAUGAAUACUAGGUGUUGGAGGGUUUCCGCCCUUCAGUGCCGCAGCUAACGCAUUAAGUAUUCCGCCUGGGGAGUACGACCGCAAGGUUGAAACUCAAAGGAAUUGACGGGGGCCCGCACAAGUGGUGGAGCAUGUGGUUUAAUUCGAUGCUACGCGAAGAACCUUACCAGCUCUUGACAUCUUCUGCCAACCCAAGAGAUUGGGCGUUCCCUUCGGGGACAGAAUGACAGGUGGUGCAUGGUUGUCGUCAGCUCGUGUCGUGAGAUGUUGGGUUAAGUCCCGCAACGAGCGCAACCCUUAUUAUUAGUUGCCAGCAUUUAGUUGGGCACUCUAGUGAGACUGCCGGUGAUAAA